AAACUUUCAACAAUGGAUCUCUUGGUUCUGGCAUCGAUGAAGAACGCAGCGAAAUGCGAUAAGUAGUGUGAAUUGCAGAAUUCAGUGAAUCAUCGAAUCUUUGAACGCACAUUGCGCCCCUUGGUAUUCCAUGGGGCAUGCCUGUUCGAGCGUCAUUU
rnacentral:rRNA from 15 species